GCUGAGGUGGUGGAACGGCAGACACGCAGGUCUCAGAAGCCUGUGCCCGCAAGGGUGUGUGGGUUCAAAUCCCGUCCUCAGCA
rnacentral:tRNA from 1 species